rnacentral:rRNA from 1 species
GGCCCCGCACAAGCGGUGGAGCAUGUGGUUUAAUUCGAUGAUACGCGAGGAACCUUACCAGGGCUUAAAUGUAGUGGGACAGGUCUAGAGAUAGACCCUUCUUCGGACUCAUUACAAGGUGCUGCAUGGUUGUCGUCAGCUCGUGCCGUGAGGUGUCAGGUUAAGUCCUAUAACGAGCGCAACCCCUAUCGUUAGUUGCCAGCGGGUCAUGCCGGGAACUCUAGCGAAACUGCCGGUGCAAACCGUGAGGAAGGUGGGGAUGACGUCAAAUCAUCACGGCCCUUACGUCCUGGCUACACACGUGCUACAAUGGUCGGUACAGAGAGCAGCCACUACGCGAGUAGGAGCG